rnacentral:rRNA from 1 species
ACAAGCGGUGGAUGAUGUGGAUUAAUUCGAUGCAACGCGAAAACCUUACCUACCCUUGACAUGUCCGGAAUCCUGCAGAGAUGCGGAGUGCCGAAAGGAAUCGGAACACAGGUGUUGCAUGGCUGUCGUCAGCUCGUGCCGUGAGGUGUUAGGUUAAGUCCUGUAACGAGCGCAACCCUGCCGUUAGUUACAUGUGUCUAACGGGACUGCCCGGCUCAACUGGGAGGAAGGUGGGACGACGUCAAGUCAGCAUGGCCUUUAUAUCCUGGGCUACACACACGCUACAAUGGUCGGUACAAUGGGUCGCCAAGCCGCGAGGCGGAGCCAAUCCUCCAAAACCGGCCUCAGUUCAGAUUGUAGGCUGCAACUCGCCUGCAUGAAGUUGGAGUUGCUAGUAGCCGCGCGUCAGCUAUAGUGCGGUGAAUACGUUCCCGGGGCUU